rnacentral:rRNA from 1 species
GCCGGAAUUGCUAGUAAUGGCAGGCCAGCAUACUGCCGUGAAUACGUUCCCGGGCCUUGUACACACCGCCCGUCAAACCAUGAGAGUUGGCAACACCCGAAGUCGGUAGUCUAACCGCAAGGAGGACGCCGCCGAAGGUGGGGUCGAUGAUUAGGGUUAAGUCGUAACAAGGUACC